CCUACGGGAGGCAGCAGUGAGGAAUAUUGGUCAAUGGCCGAGAGGCUGAACCAGCCAAGUCGCGUGAGGGAAGAAUGUCCUAUGGAUUGUAAACCUCUUUUGUCAGGGAGCAAAGUCACCCACGUGUGGGUGUUGGAGAGUACCUGAAGAAAAAGCAUCGGCUAACUCGGUGCCAGCAGCCGCGGUAAUACGGAGGAUUCGAGCGUUAUCCGGAUUUAUUGGGUUUAAAGGGUGCGUAGGUGGGUUAUCAAGUCAGCGUGAAAAUCGUGGAGCUCAACUCCAUCCAGCCGUUGAACCUGAUGAUCUUGAGUGGGCGAGAGGUAUGCGGAAGGCGGGGUGUAGUGGUGAAAUGCAUAGAUAGCACGCAGAACUCCGGUGGCGAAGGCAGAAUACCGGCGCCCGACUGACGCUGAAGCACGAAAGCGUGGGUAUCGAACAGGAUUAGAGACCCUGGUAGUC
rnacentral:rRNA from 1 species